CAGCCGCCGCGGGAAUACGAAGGGGGCUAGCGUUGCUCGGAAUCACUGGGCGUAAAGGGUGCGUAGGCGGGUCUUUAAGUCAGGGGUGAAAUCCUGGAGCUCAACUCCAGAACUGCCUUUGAUACUGAAGAUCUUGAGUUCGGGAGAGGUGAGUGGAACUGCGAGUGUAGAGGUGAAAUUCGUAGAUAUUCGGAAGAACACCAGUGGCGAAGGCGGCUCACUGGACUGGUAUUGACGCUGAGGUGCGAAAGCGUGGGGAGCAAGCAGGAUUAGAUACCCGAGUAGUCCCUGUCUCUUAUAC
rnacentral:rRNA from 1 species